rnacentral:rRNA from 1 species
UACAUGUGGGGCAAGCGUUGUUCGGAAUUACUGGGCAUAAAGGGUGCGUAGGCGGUAUUGUACGUCCGGGGUGAAAACCCAUGGCCCAACCAUGGAUCGGCCUUGGAUACGGCAGUACUUGAGUGCGUGAGGGGUGAUCGGAACGCGUGGUGUAGCGGUGAAAUGCGUAGAUAUCACGCGGAAGGCCAACGGCGAAGGCAGAUCACUGGUGCGCAACUGACGCUGAGUGCACGAAAGCGUGGGGAGCAAACAGG